rnacentral:ncRNA from 1 species
ACGCGAGGCUCAUAUGUGGGCUGUGCGAGAAGAAAUUCUCGCAUGACUCCCGUCAAAUUCGGGGGAACCUAAAUCUGCUGUAAGCGAACAAGGCAAUCCCGAGCCAAACUAUCAUAUAUAGAAGGUGUAGAGACUUGACGGCGGGCACCCAUAAGGGUGAAGAGAAAGUCCAGACCACAAAUUCAUUAACAA